rnacentral:lncRNA from 1 species
CCAUCCCGUCAAAUGCAAAUGCUCCUAAGAAGAAAAGAGGUCCAACCCAAGUGAUGGUUCCUGAACAUAAUUAUAAGAAAAUAGAACUUGAACUCAAUGAAUUUGGGCAAGUAGUUGUCGGUAACUCCGAUAAAUUUGCUAUUGUUGUUGGAGCCAUGGUACGAGAACAUGUACCUAUUACAAUUAAAGACUGGCAUUCAGUGGAUGAAAAGAAAAAAAUGGAACUUUGGACUUUCAUACAGGUACAUCUCUUAACUAACUUUUUACGAUUUUUUGACACCAUUCUUUUAAGUUAUAAAAUAUAUUUGUGCACAGAUGUAGCAAAGGUUCGAUAUCAAUGAUUGUCAUAAAAUAAUGACAUUUCAAUAUAUGGGAAAGUAUUAGAUGACAUUCAAAUCACAAAUUGAGAAAAGAAAUCAGAACUGAAAUAGCAACAUCUGUUAAUAGAACACGAACCAUUGCCCUCCUUGGACCAAAGAAUGUAAAUCAUGAAGAAGCAAUGGAAAAGUUUCUCAAAGAUACUCUUUCUGUUGACUUCGAAGUAAGAAAUAUUUGCUUAUUAAUGUUAAAUUUUUAUUUAGUUGUUUCUAUUUUUAUUGUUUUGUUUUCUUAAUGGGAAAAAAGUUCCAAGUUCGGGAAAAUGAGAAAGGGUCAAAAGCUUCCUCACACUUUGGGUCGAAAUGCUUUUUCACGUACGGCUCAUGAGAUGGUACAAUUACACACCUAUCUUGUCUGGUUAGGAAUGGAGUUUCAUUUCUUCUUAGUUAUAGGUAUUACACACCAUUGUUGAUUUCCUUCAAGUAUUCAUUACGUAAUUACUGGAUUUAUAUUGUAGAGAAAAAAGAAUCCGGGCUUAAAGGGGUUAAGAACUAGAGUAUGGAUGCAUGGACAUCUUAGAAAUGAUGGUAAACCGAUAAAUGAAGCAGUCACCGCAACUUUGGCACAUGUAUUCUUUCAAUGUAUAUGAUUUAUUAUACGUAUUCAAAGCUAGUAUCUAAUCUGAGUUCCAUAAGUGCAGAAAAGGAUAGAAGAUUGUGCCCAAUCAAUUUCUGAUACACCAGCAGAAAAUUCCAUCCACAAUGAUGCUGUUGCUCGAAUUUUAGGUCCUGAACAUCGUGAAAGAGUUAGAGGACUUGGAUUUGUAGUUUCACCAUCGAAAGUGGAUGGACAAUUCAAAUUAAUGGGAGAGUGAGAGAACUUGAUGAAAAGGUUGGAGCACUAGAAGAAAGGUUGAAGCACUUCUUAAAUUAUCUCAACAGGUUAUAAACUUUUAUCAUCAUAUAUAUACAAUGAUAAUAUAGCUUAGCAUAACUCAAUAUGGAGAAUAAUUUUUUAAUUUUUGUAUCAUUUACAGAAUCAAAACAAGAAUGUAGACGACUUGAGUUCACGUGCUUUUACUCAGGUUUUUGUAUCUUACAUAUUAUUUUGUAUUCACUAUAAACAUAGAAUAUAGCAUAUACUAAUUUAUUUUACUUUGAUUUUGUAGUCACAACAAGGAAGUGGUAUCUAUGGAGGGAUUGCACAUACGGAACAUGCAAGGUUUCAACUGUUGCAUUGGUGCAUAUUUAAAGAGGAAGAAAUUGUAGUUGAAGGAAGGAUUGCAUCAAUAGACCCAAGUGCAAAGGUCAUCACAUACCAAUCGGACGAGAUUGUUGGACUGUUUGGGUUGAGGAAGUGCAUAUGGGCCAUUUGAACUUAUGUAGACCUACUGAUGAAUUUUGAGUGCUUAGAGAAGCCAUAGGAAGUAUAGUUGUUUGGCUAAAGAGCAGUAUUAGACUUAUUUAACAAGGUAUGUAAUGCAUUUCUGCAUUUUUGUUUCUGUGUGUAAUAUCUGUACUUGCUAGGAAAAAAUGGUUUGAUGGAUGAAAAACAAGCACACUCCGGUGUGGUUUAGAGGCUUACUUGGGUGUAAGCCUCUGGAAAUUGAGGCAUAAGUCCUGACCAAUAGCACAUAAGGUGUAAAAUUUGGAGGGCAACCAAAAUAUGCUCAAUAUCUUUGUUGUUCACUUCACUCUUUCCUCUCAGAGUUUCUAGCAAAUAAUGUAUCAGAAGAUUACGAGAACCAUAUUUUGCACCCGUCAAAUCUUUAUUCAAGAAAAUAUUACCAACAUGUUAUACAUAUCAUUUAUUUCUCAACUAUGUGAUCCUAUAGUUAUAUUUUUUUCAUUAAUUUCUGAUGGAGUAAGAUUCUUGCAGUCAAUAAAUAAUGCUUUACAAAGUUAAUUUCUGUGUUCUGUGGAUGUACAAGUGUGCAUGCACAAAGCCUUGUACAAGCAGAAAUGUCCAUAUUUUCAUCCUUCCAUGUCAUUGCUGAUUUUCAAUGUCAAGUUUUUCCAAGUUCUGUUGGGUAUGGAUUGUUUUAAUGGAUUUAUUCUCUCUAAAAAUAGCUUACGUGGUAUCGUUUUGCUCAUUAAGAACUGAUUUACUACUUGCAAAAUUCAAGUAUAGCAGAUGAUUUUAUAAUCACCUAUCAUGACCGUGAAGCACAUAUCCUU